GCUUAGCCCUAAACACAGAUAAUUACAUAAACAAAUUAUUUGCCAGAACGUACUACCAGCAACAGCUUAAAACUCAAAGGACUUGGCGGUGCUUUAUAUCCUUC
rnacentral:rRNA from 1 species